UAUUAGGCAUGCAAGUCGCCUAUAGGUUCGGGUCCGUGGCGGACGGGUGAGUAACCGAUGGGUAACCUGCCUCGGAGUGGGGAAUAACUCUCCGAAAGGAGAGCUAACAGACGCACAGACACUCUCGGUGAGUUCAAAGAGUAGUAAAAGCCGUAAUGUGCUCUGAGAGGGGCCCGCGGCCGAUUAGCUAGUUGGUGGGGUAAUGGCCUACCAAGGCGACGAUCGGUAGCUGGUCUGAGAGGAUGGUCCGCCACCGAGGGACUGAGAAGCGGCCCAAUCUCCUACGGGAGGCCGCCGCUAAGAAUCUUGCGCAAUGGGCGAUUCAAAUGACGCCGCAACGCCGCGUGAAGGACGAAGGCCUUCGGGUUGUAAACUUCUUUUGCGAGGGAAGAAGAUCUGACGGUACCUCGCGAAUUUCAAAACGGCUAACUACGUGCCCGCCGCCGCGGUAAUACGUAGGUGGCGAGCGUUGUCCGGAUUUACUGGGCGUAAAGAGCCCGCCGGCGGUCCGUUAAGUUUCCGGUGAAAUCUCCCGGCUCAACCGGGAGGAUGCCUGGAAAACUGGCGGACUUGAGGCCGGGAGAGGGAUGUGGAAUUCCCGGUGUAGUAGUGAAAUGCGUAGAAGUCGGGAGGAACACCCGUGGCGAAGGCGGCAUCCUGGCCCUGUCCUGACGCUCCGGGGCGAAAGCGUGGGGAGCAAACCGGAUUAGAA
rnacentral:rRNA from 1 species